CCACCUAAAGUGAUGAAAACUUCAGCAACUACUAUGACAACCGGACCUACUUCAACAACUUCAACAAGAAUGACAGCAGCGGAGCCUAAAAACCCAGCAUCAGUCAAACCCACAACAGGAAGUGAUUUAUCAAACUCUAAAGAUAAGCUGACACUGAGGUUCUUCAUUGUGUUGGUGGGUUUAGCGUCACUCCUAACAUCAGUUUUUGUCGUCAACAUCUGGAUCAGGAUCAAAAGAAAAAAACAACGUGGGGAAGAAAACUUUGUGUGCAGUGAUGAAGAUAAUAGUGCAGUGACUUAUGAAAAUGUUGGAGCCACUGAUGGAGUCUGAUUGUUCUGCUCAUCUAAUGGACGUCAGCGAUUGAUAACUUUAGAAAUAUCUCCUUCAAGCAAAAGAGACAAUUUUAAUAAGCUCAGGAAGACAAGUGUCACUAAAAACCCAGAAACAUUUACAAAAGCCUGUUUAUUUUCCUUUUUUGUCACUAGUGGCCUUUAAUGAAGGGACGCUGACAGGAAGAGGGGAUGAGAGAGAGGGGGACGACAUGCAGCAAAGGGUGAACCUGGGAUGGCCACAUCGAGGACUAAGGCCUCCAUAUAUGGGUCUGUGCCACCAGAGUGCCCACAAAAGCCUGUUUUAAUAUUUAUCCCUACCUCUGUAUUAAAUU